AAUCAUUCAGAUUACAGCCCUUAUUUCACAGCCACUCCCUCAAUGGUGCAAGAAGAACCCUAAUCCUCUUCUCUCAAUUCUCAAAUUCAAAUCUCUUUGGACUCUGAUCGUGUCGCCGGCACUACUCAUAUUACUCGCGUCGCCGGCGGUGUUGUAGUCUCCCGUCACUCUCGUCGCCAGCUUGUUCGCGAAGGCCUUCUAUUAGGUGAUAACAACAUCGAUGAUCUGGUCUCUGUUGACUCAUUAGACUUGUUCCCUAACUUAGUGGGAAUUCACUUUGAAAUGUCAAGUACCAACAUGGAUGUAAUGGCACAAGAUGUGGCAACAGAAGAACAACAACAAGAACCCCCAGUGGAAGCAACCACUAAUUUUGUUUCAGAUGAGUCCGCUUCGAUUGAAAAUAGCAACAAAUCGAGUGUGAAGAGUGUUUAUUGGCAAUACUUUAGUCGAUUUCAAGAGGAAAAGACUGGAAGGCAAAAUGCAACCAUUGCAAAUCUGUUCUUGGAGCCAAUCCAAGAAAUGGAACUAUAAAUUUGAAGAAUCAUGUGCUCCACUAUUGUAAAAGGAUCAAAUUAGCAAAUUCUAGGCAAUCAACAAUUGUGGAUUCAUUGUCUAAACAUGCAAGGAGUGCU